rnacentral:rRNA from 1 species
AUGUUUGCGUUGUUUGCCUGUCGGUCAAAUGCUCACUAUUCAGCAGACAGGAAGCGGAUGCUAUCAAGAUCAUGCCAAAGGCGAUGCUCAUUCCCGUUCUUAGUGAGAUGGGUUUACUCGAUGCAAAGUAUGAGCAUUGCAGACUCUGGCGAGCUGCUGAAGGUCGACGAGGAGGGCGCCGCCGCCACCGUCAUCAGGCUGGUCCACAUACACGCGUUGCUCGGCGUCACCAGGUCACCGGCACAACUCCGCACGCCCAGGCCGUUCAACAUUUUCUUCCGCUUUUGGUGCGUCACAUUUAGAAUCUUUCUUUCCCAUUUUACCGUGUUUGCAUGGUAA